CCCAGCCCCAUUCCUCACCUGAUGUGCAGGAGGAGCAUCUAUAUGCCCUGGCCUGCAUCUCACGAAACAUGACUGUGUAUUAAUAAUUACCGUUUCAUUUCAAAUGGUGUGAAAUGAAACAGCUUGCAGCUUGAAAGAGAAAGAAUCUAGCCAAAAUUUCAAUACAACUGAACAGAGACGAGUUGGAGAAAAGUUUUCUCUUUGGAGACUCUUCUUUGUUUUCUUUUCUAUGGAAAAUAUUGAGCUGUCAGACGUGUGAAGGGAGAAGUGCUGGGUGGCUUUGUGGACAGAGCAAGGAAAAACCAACUGCCAGCACAAUCGAACUCUAAUAUUCACUGAUGUCAGUAUAUUCAUCAUUGACAGCUAUAUCUUCUGCAUUGUUUCAUAUAAGACUAUAAGAUGGGACAUUCAGGCAGUUAUUUAUGCCAAGCAAAAGACAUUUCUCACCACAAAAAGGACGUCUUUAAUAGAAAACCACAAAAGUAUCUGAAGGCUGCUUACCUUACUGGCUAACUUCUUCAGCUGUUCCUGAAUUUGAUCGAUUUUUUCUGCUAUAAUGAUGAUUUUGUUCCUGAGAAUAUCACGGAAUUCUGGCAGCUGAUGUGCUUCAUAGUGCAGUUGGAACAGGGGAUCAUUCCAGGACUGCAGCACCAUGAUCAGCAGCUUGACAAUAUCUUUUGGCUAAGCAGACAUACCAGACCAAUCAGGUGGAAAUAAGCAAGCUACAGCUGGUUAAUAACAUGUGAAUUUUGCUCUACGGGUCCAAACUAAAGUAUUUUUUGUUACUCUUGUGAGUAUGUAAAGUCUUCUGUAGAUCAUAAAAGGUGUAAAAUGUAAACAAUUGGCUUACACCUUGCUACAGUAAUAUGAAUGCAGGAAACUAGCAAAUUGAUGUGACUACUUUUUCUAAUGAGAACUCUAAUCAAUGAUCUUGGGUUUUUUCCUCUGAAAUCAUAUUAAAACUCUGAUUUUAGGGGGAAAUUAAAAAAGUGAGAUUAUUACAGUAAAAUGUUAGUGCUUGCUGUGCAAUUAGGUGUUCACCUGUAUACUGUGUGUUGAUCAGAACAGAGGUUGGAGUCAGACCCCUGAAAAAUGUGAUAUAGCAUUUUACAGGAUGUACACGGUGUGGCAACGUUCAGUUUAGAUAUAUGUGAAGGCAGCAGAGUGAGUGAAGUGUGAAGGAGUAAGUGUUAGCAGAAGUUCAAAAUGAAAGCGAGUUGAAAGUAUAGAAGAUAUGAUUUAGAUUAGGCAGAGUUUAGUACUAUAAAUGGUUAUCAAUGCAGGAGUCAUUGGUAACCUCUAGAAAGUGAAACUGCAGCUGCAUCUCUUACAUAUCCAGCUCAGUUUAGACUUCCUUCCCUAUAGUAUACUGUGCUUACUCUUAGCUACAUAUCAUUGGUUAAUCUGCUUGCAAAUUCAUGGAUCUCUGUAAUUUUUACAUAGCAUUUCUUUUUAUGUGUAACUGUUAACUACAUGAUACAAUUUUUGUUUGAUUGGUUAAUCUUCCUCCAUUUUUCUCUGCCACAUAACUACUAUUAAAACUAAUCACAGUGUAUGCCAUUGCAAAGCAGUGCACUGCCUCAAUUGUUCUUGUGAGGGUGGGGUAGGGACCCACCUGCAUCAUCAGAUCCUGCUCCUCCCCUACUGGAAAGAUGGUGGGAACCGUGUGGCACUUUUUCCUGGCUUCCGGAAAGACGAAUAGGCCUCGUGAAUACUUUUUGUCCUGGAAUGAUGAAUAAAAUUCAAUUAGUUGGUAUUUGGGAAUUAAAAUAAUGAACCUUUUUGUUUUACCAGAAUGUUAAUACAUUUGAUGUAUAUGUAAUUUUUAAAAAAUAUUAGAGCUGUAUAGAUGCUGAAACUAAAGAAUUAUGAAAGUAAUGCUAAUUUUAACUAUUUCUAUAAUUUCAUUGUUUUAAACUCACUUUUCUAACCUCCCAACCUCUUCCUUUCUUUGCUAUGCCUUUGUUCUGACCCUUCCUAUGAAUAGAUAUGUGAAACAAACACAAAAAAUAGCACAAGUACAACAUGUUAACUGUUUUAAGUGUCAUGUUCUCAAGUAUUUGAGCCAAAUACAAAGAUGCAUAUAUAUCUGUAUUUGCCUAUUUAAUCUCAUGUUGUUCAACAACACUGAUAUUCUUUCUAUAA